GUUAUAAGUUAUUGUGUGGCGUCAGCCUACACACAGGCCACUUGUGCUCGAACGCUCGUCAGGAUGUACGAGGGCGGGCACGUGAGUCAUGG